UGAAUAAAACAUAGAGUUAAUGCACAGUAUCCCAUUAGAACUCUACAGUUAAGUGCGCUAGAGUAGUAUUGGGAUGGGUGACCGCCCGGGAAUUCCUAGUGUUUUACAUGC
rnacentral:rRNA from 1 species